rnacentral:rRNA from 1 species
UAACACCAGCCCCUCGAGUGGUGGGGAUGAUUAUUUGGCCUAAAGCGUCCGUAGCCGGCCGGAUAAGUCUCCCGUUAAAUCCAGCGUCUCAAGCGUUGGACUGCGGGAGAUACUGUCUGGCUAGAGAGUGGGAGAGGUAUACGGUAUUCUGGGGGUAGGGGCGAAAUCCAUUGAUCCCCGGAGGACCACCAGUGGCGAAGGCUGUGUACUAGAACACGUCUGACGGUCAGGGACGAAAGCUGGGGUAGCGAACCGGAUUAGAUACCCGGGUAGUCCCAGCCGUAAACGAUGCACGCUAGGUGUUGGGUCGGCCACGAGCCGCCCCAGUGCCGCAGGGAAGCCAUUAAGCGUGCCGCCUGGGGAGUACGGCCGCAAGGCUG